rnacentral:lncRNA from 1 species
UCUGCUACUUUCUGCUUAUUUUGCACCCUUCUGCUCCUUUCUCAUUCUGAUCCCUUUCUGCUCCUUGCAGACCCUUUCUGCUCCCUUUUCUACUUUACCUUUGUGCUCCUUGCUGUCCCUUUGUGCUCCUUCUCCUACUUUACUUUUGUGUUCCUUCUGUUUCUUUCUGCUCCUUUACCUUUGUGCUCCUUGCUGUCCCUUCCUGCUCCUUGCAGGCCAUUCCUGCUCAUUCUCCUAUUUUACCUUUGUG